UGCCUUUUGGUAUUAAAUUCAAAUUUCUGCUUCUGAAGCUUUUGCUCAUUGCAUUUGGUUAAAUUUGGUUCAUCAAUCUCAUGAAAGUACUAGGGAGCAUUUGAUAGACCAAAUGUCAUAACUAGCCACUCGAACAACCCUUCUUUUGUUUUAAAAGCAGUUUUCCAUUUGUCACCUGGAUGAAUUCGAAUUUGGUGAUAGCCACUAUGAAUGUCAAUCUUGGAAGACUUGAGCUCCAACCAAUUGAUCUAAUAAGUUAGAAAGUCUAGGUAUCGGAAAUUUAUAUUGGAUGGUAAAAUUACGGAUGGCUCGAUUGUCUAUACACAAACAACAAGAACCGUAUUUUUCCCAGCAAGCAGGACAGGCAUGACACAUGGGCUUAGGCUAGGUUGUAUUUGCGGCUGCUUAAGCAAAUCUUGGAUAAUACCAUGAAGAGCUUCAUACUGUUUGGGGCUCAUUUUAUAGUGUGGUAACUGAGGUAAUGUAGCAACCCUGCUGUCUACAGUGGUUGAAAGCAAGGCUUUUUGCAAACCAUAUUUUCAACCCACCUUUCUUAAUCCAACCCGCCUUGUAAUGACUUGGAUGGGAAUCAACUUUCAAUUUAAGAGUUUGGACAAGGUUUUUGGAAACCAUAUUUUCACUGCUACCACUAACAACUAUUACAUUGCAAAUUUUGUCAUUGAUGGUACAGCAUGUUUCAAACAGAGCAUGUCUCUGAGGCUUCUUUUCAUUAUUGGUGUGAGAAGAACACGUUGAAGGACACAAGACAGCUACUCUCCUUCAUUUGGAUUAUCAUAUUCAGUGUCAUCGGUGUCAUUUUCUUUUCCUUGUUGAACUCUUCUUGCUCCUCUUGGAUGGUAAGGUUUCUUCUUUGAGGACAUUCAUUGGAUAAUGUGCUGUUUGUCCACACCUAAAACACUUACCAAUAUUAGGUCUAUUAUAAAGGUUACAUUUCUUUUGGGGUAAAGAAUUAGAACUUCCCUUUGGAUCAAUUUUGAUUUGUUGCCAUGAACUUCUUUUCCUUUAGUAUUGGAUGAGGAAGCCACAUUCUGCCCUUUGGAAGUAUCUUGAAUUUGCCUUCUAUUUGGCUAGAUGUUUUAUCCCAAAGAAUUCUUGUCCCAGUCCAUUUCUUUUGCUUUUGAAUCUCAUCAUCUUCAAUUGUUGUGGCAAUGGAUACAGCAUCAGCUACACAUGUCGUUAGAUGAAGCUGUAUUUUUUCUUAAUAUCCUGUUGUAGCCCAUCAAUAUACCUUGCAAUGUGUUGAUUUUUGCUCUUGGCGCACUUAAGUGGUAGAAUUCUUCUGUAUAAUUCUCCAUGCUUCUAGUUCCUUGUUUACAAUGCUGAAAUUGGUUAUAAAGAAGGCGUUUGUGGUUAAUACGCAAGAAACGCUUCUGUAUUAAGUGCAACAUCUAGGGCCAACUUUGCGUCUCUUUCUCAACAUCCUUUUAUUAGUUUGUAAUUGAUCCCACCAAAUGGAUGCUCCGCUUUUAAGUUUCAGAAACCAAUUUUACUUUUCUAUCUUCCAGAGUAUUCAUGUAGUUGACAAAACUUUCUACGUUCUUUACCCAAUCAACGAAUGCAUCAAUAUUCACCGGCCAUUGUAAGUUGGUAAGUAUCUUCAUCUUAUAAUUUGAUUCUCGUCUCCAACGUUGCCCUCCUUGCUGGUGUUGAAAGUAAUUCCAAUCUCUUUUUCUGAUAAGAAAAAGUAAUUCCAAUCUUGGAAUUGUUCUUGGGUAUUCGGCCUGAAAUUUCCCAAUUCUUGAUAGGGUUUUUGAAAAGGUAAUUGAUUAUCUUCAUGUCUGAAAUUAGGAUGUUGAUAUCUAUGGGGAUGAUUCUGAAAACGAGGGGGGAAUUCUUUGCCAUCUGAAGAGUCAAGACUCGUAACCACUGAAGUCAUAAGGAACCGUUCUGCCUGGGGGUUGGUUCUUGGUUUCUUGCAUCAAAAUGGUGAUGAAUUUCUUGCCUUCUUUGCGGUUGUAUAGUCUGCCUUCCGUUAUCUUGAGCUUCUUUCUGUCUGUUGGUGUUCUCUUGCUCCUGACCUUGAAUAUUAGUUUGCCUGGAGAGGUUUCAACCGAAACUAAUCGUCGAUUGAGGGAGCGUGGGGAUGUAGAAGAAGAUGCUUGUGCAUCCAGGUGUUGAGGAUCAUUUGGUUUGCUCAGCCAGCCAUCAGUCCCUUCCACUAGGGUGCUUUGAUACCAACUAAUGAAGACUAUUGUUGUUGGAGAAAUCUUGAAACUGAAGUAUUAAGUGUGUAACAAAUUCAAACUUAUGAGGUUUGAUCUUUGGGAAGAGGAGAAUAGAAUGUUUCAAGAUAUGGAUAGGGACUUUUGUGAGUUUGGUCUUUGGUGGGGUUAUAUGUUUCGCUUUGGACUUCGAUUUCGAUGACUUUUUGUAAUUAUUCACGAGGCAAUAUGUU